GCCCGAAUAGCUCAGUAGGUAGAGCAGAGGACUGAAAAUCCUUGUGUCGACGGUUCGAUUCCGUCUUCGGGCA
rnacentral:tRNA from 2 species